rnacentral:rRNA from 1 species
GUAGGGAAUUUUCGGCAAUGGGGGAAACCCUGACCGAGCAACGCCGCGUGAACGACGAAGUACUUCGGUAUGUAAAGUUCUUUUAAGAGGGAAGAAUGGCUGGCGGAAAAGCCAGAUUGACGGUACCUUUUGAAUAAGCCCCGGCUAACUAUGUGCCAGCAGCCGCGGUAAUACAUAGGGGGCAAGCGUUAUCCGGAAUUAUUGGGCGUAAAGGGUGCGUAGGUGGCCCGUUAAGUCUUUGGUGUAAGUGCAGCGCUCAACGCUGUGAUGCUAAAGAAACUGGCGGGCUUGAGUGUGGUAGAGGCAAGUGGAAUUCCAUGUGUAGCGGUAAAAUGCGUAAAUAUAUGGAGGAACACCGGUGGCGAAGGCGGCUUGCUGGGCCACAACUGACACUGAGGCACGAAAGCGUGGGGAGCAAACAGGAUUAGAAACCCUAGUAGUCCC